rnacentral:rRNA from 1 species
CUGGCGCCUUCGGCGUCCGCGUUGUAAUCUCGAGAAGUGUUUUCCGUGCUGGACCAUGUACAAGUUCCUUGGAAUAGGACGUCAUAGAGGGUGAAAAUCCCGUACUUGAUGUGGCCGCCCAGUGCUUUGUGAUACACUUUCCAUGAGUCGAGUUGUUUGGGAAUGCAGCUCAAAAUGGGUGGUAAAUUCCAUCUAAAGCUAAAUAUUGGGGAGAGACCGAUAGCGAACAAGUACCGUGAGGGAAAGAUGAAAAGCACUUUGGAAAGAGAGUUAAAUAGUACGUGAAAUUGUCGAAAGGGAAGCGCUUGAAGUUAGACAUGCUAGUUGGAAUUCAGCCUUGCUUUUGCUUGGUGCAUUUUCCGGUUAGCAGGCCAGCAUCAGUUUUGCCUGUCGGAUAAGGGUAGGAGGAAUGUGGCCCCUCGGGGUGUUAUAGCCUCUUACUGGAUACGACG